AAAACAGACUUCAUGCCCAAUCAAGAUUUAGACGGGACAGCCCAGCCUGGGCUAAGCCCAAAAUACAGAUCUCGGAUCAGUUUUGCUGGUCACUCAGUAGCGGUUUUGCGGAUUGUAGAUAAUGAGCCCUCGUCUGGAACAGCCCAGGUAUAAGCUUCUUUGAGGGAUCUUAUUACUACUAUUCCUAGUAUUAUGAUGAAUAUGAUGACUAUAAUGAUUGCUAACUAUUGACUAUUUCUAUUUCUUCUCAAUAUGCUAUUGAUAUAUGUAUGUUAAUUGCGAUGUAUAAAUCUCUUUAUAUAUGUAUCCAUGUAUGAAUAUAAUAAUAACGGUAAAUAUGCGUCUGUGUAUGCAGCAGUGCACAGCUCUGUCUGGGAGUCAGUGAGCAGAAAGACGCCCAUUCUCUGAUAUUUAAUGUAAGGCGCUUGAGCUUUUAAACCUACAGGCGUUAACGUCAGUUAUCAGCUACCCAAAGGUCGUCAGUAGUAGAAGACGUUUCACACAGUACGGUAAACCUGCUAUAUAUUAAUGUUGUCUGAGCUCUAUUUGUAGGUCUUAGGAUUAUUUGGGCACUGGUCAAAGAAAAGAUAAAAGAUAGCUGACGAUUAAAGUUGAAUGUUUUGCCUUUGCAGUGUCUGUGUUGAUCCUACCAACAGAGCUUGCUGCUGUGCGUUUUUGUUUAAAUUGAUUCACCAGACAAAGACAGAUCUGGAAACAGAAGCAUACAUAGUAGCCUAUAUACUCCCGUAUAGCGCCUUAUUCAAUAUACUACACCUAUAAGAUGAUACAUACCCCUAUUGUAUAAUCCUGCUGACUAUAUACAGUAUAUGAUACCUGACACCUAUUAUGAUACUUAGACACCCUAAUAUGGUAAUUUAGAUAAGAGAUGGCGGAGCUGUUUUUUUUUCUGUGGCUGUGGAAGAGUUUUCUGUGGUCAGUAAUGUUUCCAUCUUGUUUUUCAGGGUGUUACAAUGGUAAAAAAUGUAGGAGAGUGCCGCCACUCAAAUGCUCUUUCAUUUAAUUGUUGUCAGUUCAGUUAUGAAAGCAGCCGGGAUGGUAAAUUGACAGCAACGAGCCGAAGCUUGGUAAAUCUUAAUUUUUUCAGAAAAACAUAUGUUGCAGGUAAAUAACCAAAAGGUGAAAUUUAAUUUUCAUAUCCAUAUGGCUACAUUAAACAGUGAAUAUGCAUUUUUUUAUAUAUUUUAGCCAGUGUGACAUGUGGUCAAACAAGUCACCAUUCAUGUUUGAAUUCCGGCCUUUAAAGAUAUGUUUAGUAAAUGGGGCGGGGAAGAAGAGCAUUUUUUUGGGGGGGGGUUACUAAUACUGUAACUGAAUUGCAUGGGAAAAAACAGUGGAACAUGUGCUGCAUGUUCUGUGUGUGUGUGUUAAAUGCAGGCGAAUCAUGACGCAAACUUAAGGUGAGGCAGGUUUCUGCUACUUUGUGAACACACAACAAAUCUUACUUUGUAAUUUGUUACACAUUGGCAUCCUGAGCAGAGAAGGAAGUCACACUCGCUCUGUGUGUUGGAAUCUGAGUUUCUCUGUUCUUUGUUUUGAUAGCGGGUCCGGGGAAAAUGUUGGCAUUUUAUUUAGUAAGGAAUGUUCUUUGAGAGCCGUAUGGAGCCAAUCCCAGCUCGUUGUUCCUGUAUUUCGAGUACAGCCCCGUUAAACAAACUUGGUUCACUCUUUUGUGUAUCUUUACAGUGUGUCAGCUUACCUUACCAUAUACAGCUGAUCAACACUAUGCACCAAUCAGAGCCAGCUAGAGACAAUGUUGGAAAGAUCAACAAAAUCCUGUCACUUCAAAAGGCUCUUUUGCACCCCCCCCAAACCCCCCCCCCCCCGCCUCCUGAUACAGUUUGACGUAUGAAUGCCAGCAAUAACGCACACCUACACAGCCACAAACAAAUCUUAAUUUAUCGGUUUUCAAUCAGUUAGAAAUCAUUUUUUAUUUGAAUUGUUUUCAACAACUCUUGAUGAAGAAACCAGGGUUGUGUGAAGUGGAAAAAACAAGGCCUCUUUUUGUACUGUAUUUUUACAUUUGUUGGUUUUAUGUUGUAUCUUCUUGACUUUGUUUUCUCUUUUCUCCUCCCUGGUUGAAAGUUCAUGUUCUCAUAAGUGGACCAAAUCUCUUGAAAGCAUUUAAUAAUAAACAGACUGUUUUAGAAAAA